ACAUAAGAGCAUAUGCAGCAAGUAUGGAGUGUCAGGAUACCCAACAAUUCAGUGGUUUCCUAAAGGGUCCUUGGAACCAAAAAAAUAUGAAGGUCCACGAACUACAGAAGCACUUACUGAGUUUGUGAAUACUGAAGGGGGAACAAAUGUGAAACUAGCAACUAUCCCUUCUAAUGUAGUAGUAUUGACUCCAGACAUUUGAUCAGA